GUGUCAGCCGCCGCGGUAAUACGUAGGUGACAAGCGUUAUCCGGAAUUACUGGGCGUAAAGCGCACGCAGGCGGCGCGAUAAGUCUGACGUGAAAUCUCCCGGCUUAACUGGGAGGGGUCGUUGGAAACUGUCGGGCUUGAGGCGGUGAGAGGGGUGUAGAAUUCCCGGUGUAGUGGUGGAAUGCGUAGAUAUCGGGAGGAAUACCAGUGGCGAAAGCGACACCCUGGCACUGUGCCUGACGCUCAUGUGCGAAGGCGUGGGGAGCGAACGGGAUUAGAUACCCCCGUAGUCC
rnacentral:rRNA from 1 species